GACGAACGCUGGCGGCGUGCUUAACACAUGCAAGUCGAACGGUGAAGCUCCAGCUUGCUGGAGUGGAUCAGUGGCGAACGGGUGAGUAACACGUGAGCAACCUGCCCCAGACUCUGGAAUAAGCGCUGGAAACGGCGUCUAAUACUGGAUACGAGAUCAAGCCGCAUGGUUAUGGUCUGGAAAGUUUUUCGGUUUGGGAUGGGCUCGCGGCCUAUCAGCUUGUUGGUGGGGUAAUGGCUCACCAAGGCGACGACGGGUAGCCGGCCUGAGAGGGCGACCGGCCACACUGGGACUGAGACACGGCCCAGACUCCUACGGGAGGCAGCAGUGGGGAAUAUUGCACAAUGGGCGAAAGCCUGAUGCAGCGACGCCGCGUGAGGGAUGACGGCCUUCGGGUUGUAAACCUCUUUCAGCAGGGAAGAAGCGAAAGUGACGGUACCUGCAGAAGAAGCACCGGCUAACUACGUG
rnacentral:rRNA from 1 species